CCUACGGGUGGCAGCAGUGGGGAAUAUUGGGCAAUGGGCGCAAGCCUGACCCAGCAACGCCGCGUGAAGGAAGAAGGCUUUCGGGUUGUAAACUUCUUUUCUCAGGGACGAAGCAAGUGACGGUACCUGAGGAAUAAGCCACGGCUAACAACGGGCCAGCAGCCGCGGUAAUACGUAGGUGGCAAGCGUUAUCCGGAGUGACUGGGAGUAAAGGGCGUGUAGGCGGGAAAGCAAGUCAGAUGUGAAAACCAUGGGCUCAACCUGCGGCCGGCAUUUGAAACUGUUUCCCUUGAGUGUCGGAGAGGUAAUCGGAAUUCCUUGUGUAGCGGUGAAAUGCGUAGAUAUAAGGAAGAACACCAGUGGCGAAGGCGGAUUACUGGACGAUAACUGACGGUGAGGCGCGAAAGCGUGGGGAGCAAACAGGAUUAGAUACCCUUGUAGUC
rnacentral:rRNA from 1 species